AGGGUUUGAUCCUGGCUCAGGAUGAACGCUGGCGGCGUGCCUAACACAUGCAAGUCGAGCGAUUCUCUUCGGAGAAGAGCGGCGGACGGGUGAGUAACGCGUGGGUAACCUGCCCUGUACACACGGAUAACAUACCGAAAGGUAUGCUAAUACGAGAUAAUAUGCUUUUAUCGCAUGGUAGAAGUAUCAAAGCUUUUGCGGUACAGGAUGGACCCGCGUCUGAUUAGCUAGUUGGUAAGGUAACGGCUUACCAAGGCGACGAUCAGUAGCCGACCUGAGAGGGUGAUCGGCCACAUUGGAACUGAGACACGGUCCAAACUCCUACGGGAGGCAGCAGUGGGGAAUAUUGCACAAUGGGCGAAAGCCUGAUGCAGCAACGCCGCGUGAGCGAUGAAGGCCUUCGGGUCGUAAAGCUCUGUCCUCAAGGGAGAUAAUGACGGUACUUGAGGAGGAAGCCCCGGCUAACUACGUGCCAGCAGCCGCGGUAAUACGUAGGGGGCUAGCGUUAUCCGGAAUUACUGGGCGUAAAGGGUGCGUAGGUGGUUUCUUAAGUCAGAGGUGAAAGGCUACGGCUCAACCGUAGUAAGCCUUUUGAAACUGGGAAACUUGAGUGCAGGAGAGGAGAGUGGAAUUCCUAGUGUAGCGGUGAAAUGCGUAGAUAUUAGGAGGAACACCAGUUGCGAAGGCGGCUCUCUGGACUGUAACUGACACUGAGGCACGAAAGCGUGGGGAGCAAACAGGAUUAGAUACCCUGGUAGUCCACGCCGUAAACGAUGAGUACUAGCUGUCGGAGGUUACCCCCUUCGGUGGCGCAGCUAACGCAUUAAGUACUCCGCCUGGGAAGUACGCUCGCAAGAGUGGAACUCAAAGGAAUUGACGGGGACCCGCACAAGUAGCGGAGCAUGUGGUUUAAUUCGAAGCAACGCGAAGAACCUUACCUAAGCUUGACAUCCUUUUGACCGAUGCCUAAUCGCAUCUUUCCCUUCGGGGACAGAAGUGACAGGUGGUGCAUGGUUGUCGUCAGCUCGUGUCGUGAGAUGUUGGGUUAAGUCCCGCAACGAGCGCAACCCUUGCCUUUAGUUGCCAGCAUUAAGUUGGGCACUCUAGAGGGACUGCCAGGGAUAACCUGGAGGAAGGUGGGGAUGACGUCAAAUCGUCAUGCCCCUUAUGCUUAGGGCUACACACGUGCUACAAUGGGUGGUACAGAGGGCAGCCAAGUCGUGAGGCGGAGCUAAUCCCUUAAAGCCAUUCUCAGUUCGGAUUGUAGGCUGGAACUCGCCUACAUGAAGCUGGAGUUACUAGUAAUCGCAGAUCAGAAUGCUGCGGUGAAUGCGUUCCCGGGUCUUGUACACACCGCCCGUCACACCACGGGAGUUGGGGGCGCCCGAAGCCGGAUUGCUAACCUUUUGGAAGCGUCCGUCGAAGGUGAAAUCAAUAACUGGGGUGAAGUCGUAACAAGGUAACC
rnacentral:rRNA from 1 species